rnacentral:rRNA from 1 species
AGAGUUUGAUCCUGGCUCAGGAUGAACGCUAGCGGCAGGCUUAAUACAUGCAAGUCGAGGGGUAACAUUAUCGCUUGCGAUAGAUGACGACCGGCAAACGGGUGCGUAACACGUAUAGAACUUACCUCUACCAUAGGGAUAGCCCAGAGAAAUUUGGAUUAAUACCUUAUAACAUUCGAAUUGGCAUCAAUUUGAAUUAAAAACUCCGGUGGGUAGAGAUGGCUAUGCGGCCUAUUAGCUAGUUGGUGAGGUAACUGCUCACCAAGGCAACGAUAGGUAGGGGGCGUGAGAGCGUGAUCCCCCACACGGGCACUGAGACACGGGCCCGACUCCUACGGGAGGCAGCAGUAGGGAAUAUUGGUCAAUGGAGGCAACUCUGAACCAGCCAUGCCGCGUGAAGGAUGACUGCCCUCUGGGUUGUAAACUUCUUUUAUGUACAAAGAAAACUCUUCUUUCUAGAAGAACUGACGGUAGUACACGAAUAAGCACCGGCUAACUCCGUGCCAGCAGCCGCGGUAAUACGGAGGGUGCAAGCGUUAUCCGGAAUCACUGGGUUUAAAGGGUGCGUAGGCGGAAGAAUAAGUCCGAGGUGAAAUCUCUGAGCUCAACUCAGAAAUUGCCUCUGAAACUAUUUUUCUUGAAUUCAUUUGAAGUAGGCGGAAUAGGUCAUGUAGCGGUGAAAUGCGUAGAUAUGACCUAGAACACCGAUUGCGAAGGCAGCUUACUAAGAUGACAUUGACGCUGAGGCACGAAAGCGUGGGUAGCGAACAGGAUUAGAUACCCUGGUAGUCCACGCUGUAAACGAUGAUCACUCGAUGUUGGCGAUACACUGUCAGCGUCCAAGCGAAAGCAUUAAGUGAUCCACCUGGGGAGUACGGUCGCAAGAUUGAAACUCAAAGGAAUUGACGGGGGCCCGCACAAGCGGAGGAGCAUGUGGUUUAAUUCGAUGAUACGCGAGGAACCUUACCUGGGCUCAAACGCAAGACGAUCAUUCCGGAAACGGAAUUUCCCUUCGGGGCGACUUGCGAGGUGCUGCAUGGUUGUCGUCAGCUCGUGCCGUGAGGUGUCGGGUUAAGUCCCAUAACGAGCGCAACCCCUAUCAUUAGUUGCCAUCAGGUCAUGCUGGGGACUCUAGUGAAACUGCCUACGCAAGUAGUGAGGAAGGUGGGGAUGACGUCAAAUCAGCACGGCCCUUAUGUCCAGGGCUACACACGUGCUACAAUGGCCGGCACAGAGGGUCGCUACCUGGCAACAGGAUGCUAAUCUCAAAAACCGGUCUCAGUUCGGAUCGAAGUCUGCAACUCGACUUCGUGAAGUUGGAUUCGCUAGUAAUCGGAUAUCAGCAAUGAUCCGGUGAAUACGUUCCCGGGCCUUGUACACACCGCCCGUCAAGCCAUGGAAGCUGGGGGUACCUGAAGUUCGUGACCGCAAGGAGCGACCUAGGGUAAAACUAGUGACUGGGGCUAAGUCGUAACAAGGUAACC